rnacentral:rRNA from 1 species
GAUGAACGCUGGCGGCGUGCCUAAUACAUGCAAGUCGAGCGAACAGACGAGGAGCUUGCUCCUCUGACGUUAGCGGCGGACGGGUGAGUAACACGUGGAUAACCUACCUAUAAGACUGGGAUAACUUCGGGAAACCGGAGCUAAUACCGGAUAAUAUAUUGAACCGCAUGGUUCAAUAGUGAAAGGCGGUUUUGCUGUCACUUAUAGAUGGAUCCGCGCCGCAUUAGCUAGUUGGUAAGGUAACGGCUUACCAAGGCAACGAUGCGUAGCCGACCUGAGAGGGUGAUCGGCCACACUGGAACUGAGACACGGUCCAGACUCCUACGGGAGGCAGCAGUAGGGAAUCUUCCGCAAUGGGCGAAAGCCUGACGGAGCAACGCCGCGUGAGUGAUGAAGGUCUUCGGAUCGUAAAACUCUGUUAUUAGGGAAGAACAAAUGCGUAAGUAACUAUGCACGUCUUGACGGUACCUAAUCAGAAAGCCACGGCUAACUACGUG